rnacentral:rRNA from 1 species
AGGACAUGGGAAGCUUGCAUCCUAUGAAAUCGAGUGGCAAACGGGUGAGUAACGCGUAAACAACCUGCCCUUCGGAUGGGGAUAACAGCCGGAAACGGCUGCUAAUACCGAAUACGAUCUUUUCGUCGCAUGACGGAAAGAAGAAAGGAUGGCCUCUAUACAAAGCUAUCGCCGAAGGAGGGGUUUGCGUCUGAUUAGCUGGUUGGAGGGGUAACGGCCCAACAAGGCGAUGAUCAGUAGCCGGUCUGAGAGGAUGAACGGCCACAUUGGGACUGAGACACGGCCCAGACUCCUACGGGAGGCAGCAGUGGGGAAUCUUCCGCAAUGGACGAAAGUCUGACGGAGCAACGCCGCGUGAGUGAAGAAGGUCUUCGGAUUGUAAAGCUCUGUUAUACGGGACGAAAAAGACGGAUGCCAACAGUAUCCGUCCGUGACGGUACCGUAAGAGAAAGCCACGGCUAACUACGUGCCAGCAGCCGCGGUAAUACGUAGGUGGCAAGCGUUGUCCGGAAUUAUUGGGCGUAAAGGGCGCGCAGGCGGUUCGGUAAGUCUGUCUUAAAAGUGCGGGGCUUAACCCCGUGAGGGGACGGAAACUGUCGAACUUGAGUGUCGGAGAGGAAAGCGGUAUUCCUAGUGUAGCGGUGAAAUGCGUAGAUAUUAGGAGGAACACCGGUGGCGAAAGCGGCUUUCUGGACGACAACUGACGCUGAGGCGCGAAAGCGUGGGGAGCA